GCUAGUGUAGCUUAAAUAAAGCAUAAUACUGAAAAUGUUAAGAAGAACCCUAGAAAGUUCCACAAGCA
rnacentral:tRNA from 1 species